rnacentral:tRNA from 1 species
GAAAAUGACCACUCUCGUAGCUGCUAACUAUGAGCCUUGCAUUUUUGUAACAUUUUCU